rnacentral:rRNA from 1 species
CACGUAGGGGGCAAGCGUUGUCCGGAUUUAUUGGGCGUAAAGAGCUCGUAGGCGGCUCAGUAAGUCGGGUGUGAAACCUCCAGGCUCAACCUGGAGACGCCACCUGAUACUGCUGUGACUAGAGUUCGGCAGGGGAGACUGGAAUUCCUGGUGUAGCGGUGAAAUGCGCAGAUAUCAGGAGGAACACCGGUGGCGAAGGCGGGUCUCUGGGCCGAUACUGACGCUGAGGAGCGAAAGCGUGGGGAGCGAACGGG